GCUUAGAGUAUGGCCACAUGAAUGACUCAGCGCAGUAUGAAGUCUUUGUUUUCUUCCGAAAACAAGCUCAAUGAGAGCCAUCGGGGGUAGAUCUAUCUCAUGACGAGUGGUGGAAUACUUUGACUCAUGAGAGAGAAGCUGAGGCGAAGGCGUCUACCUAGAGGGUUUCUGUCGAUCAAGGGCGAGAGUAGGAGUAUCCACAGGAUUAGAGACCCUGGUAGUUCCUACCUUAAACGAUGCCGACAGGAGUUUGUCAUUUGUUAAUGGCAGAAUCUUUGGAGAAAUCAUAGUUCUUGGGCUCUGGGGGAACUACGACCGCAAGGCUGAAACUUGAAGGAAUUGACGGAAGGGCACACCAGGGGUGGAGCCUGUGGCUUAAUUUGAAUCAACACGGGGAAACUUACCAGGACCAGA
rnacentral:rRNA from 1 species